GAGGCCAGGAAGCUGUGGUUGUGGAACUGCAGUGUUCGCAGGACUCCAGGGACUGUCCUUUCCUGAUAUCCUCACACUUCCUCCUGGAUGAUGGCAUGCAGUAAGAGCCCAGUGGAUGUCUUGCAGAUAUUUAGAGUUGGCAGAGUGAAUGAAACCACAGAGUUUUUGAGCAAACCUGGCAAUGUGAGGCCCUUGUUGCAUGGUUCUCCUGUAUGAAACAUCGUGGGAAUCUUGUGUCGAGGGUUGCUUUUACCCAAAGUAGUGGAAGAUCGUGGUGUGCAAAGAACAGACGUCGGAAACCUUGGAAGUGGGAUUUAUUUCAGUG
rnacentral:lncRNA from 1 species